rnacentral:lncRNA from 1 species
UACGUGGUUUUUGUCUUUGAAAUGUGUUGAGACCUGCUUUGUGGUCCAUUUCCUGGGCGAUUUCUAGGAGUGGCUCAUCUGCUCGCGAGGCGUGUCCGUGAGUGUGGCUGGGGUGUGUUGAAAUCUCACUCGAGGCAGGUCUGUGGUUCUCCACGUGCUCUCUUGCUUGCUUCCCUUUUAAAGAACUGUAUUUGAGGCUCUGCAGUUUCUGUGGCUCAGAACGGCUUACGUGUUCACUGAAUUGAGGUCACUUUUGUUUGUUUCGCCUUUUCGGGCUGCACAUUCAGCAUGUGAAAGUACCCAGGCUAGGGGUUGAAUCAGAGCUGCAGCCACUGGCCUACACCACAGCCAUGGCAACGCCAGAUCCGAGCCGCAUCUGUGACCUAUACCACAGCUCAUGGCACCGCCAGAUCCUUGGCCCACUGAGUGAGCUCAGGGAUUGAAUCCACAUCUUCAUGGAUACUAGUUGGGUUCGUUACUGCUGAGCCGCGACGGAGACUCCUGAGGCCACCGUUUUUAUCUCUGGCAAGAUGGCAUGCUUUGGUCUGCGCUGCGUGUGCUUCGUGUGGCUGUGCCUUUGUCGUUUGCUGAGUGUGCGUGUGUCUUAUUUAGUUCUCUUGGGCAUGAAUGUGUCUCUGUGUUUCUAUUGCGUCUCCAGCGCUUCUCGGAUAGACUCUCUGUGUACAAUAUACUUGGGUUUUUUACCCAGUUUGAAAUCCUUUGUCUCCUAACUGGAGAUUUUAGUCCAAGUCUGUCCACUGUCCCAGCUGUGACGUGUUUAGGUUUAAACCCACCGUCUCAUUCUUUCCUCUUCGUUCCAUCUCGUCCAGGCUUCUCUUUCUCCUUUGCUGAGAGGGAUUUUUUUUUUCAUUCUCUUUUUUUCUCUAAUCCUCUACAAAGUUAUUUUUCUUCAAAACAGAAAAGUCAGAUAAAAGCUGGGGAAGAUGAUGACAGCUCAUAUGAUUCAAAAAAUUCCUAAUAAAACCAAAAUACAGGUCGAUAUAAAAGACACCCAACUUUUAUAUUGGGAAGUGGGAAGGGGGAAGAGGCCCAAGAAUCACCCCAGAAGACAGACAGAGGGCUGUGCACACACGUGUGAGGCACAUCCCACACACCCACCGAACACCUGGCUGGCGGGCGGGCUGGGUGGCCCGGGAGCUGAGGUGUCAGUGCCACGUGUGGGAAAGGGUGUCCACGUCCACGCCAGGCGGGCUACACAGGCUGGCCCGACGAGGUGCUUGUACUCGUUGAGGGGCAGCGUGAAGCCAUCCGCAGUGUGGAUCCCGGCAGCGCCACCUGGAGUAGCCAAGACAUGGGAGCAACGCGCGUGUCCACCGCAGGGGAGAGGACGCGGGAUGCGGCACAGGUAGGCGGUGGAGGGCUCCUCAGCCGUGGAAAAGGCCCGAGCGAUGCCGAGAGCAGCACCCUGGAUGGCCCUGGAGCGUCUCCUGUGGGGCGAGGUCAGGGCAGAAGGCGGAGCGCACACACUACCUGAGGCCCCCGCUGCGUGGAUCUGAACCACGACGCGGGCGACUGCUCCGUGAGACAAACAGCAGACCUGUGAACGAAGGGGCAGCUCGGGGAGGAAAGGCAGGCUCUCGGGGCGGCCCCGCACACGCGGCCGCGUGUCAGGUCAACAGCGAGGGACCUGCACCCAAUGUCCUCCAGCCACCGGCGUGGAAAAGAGUGUCAGUGCAUGUGUACUUACGACGCCGCGUCACUUUGCAGUGCGCCAGAAACCACGCCACGCGGUGAGCCUGCUGACCUUCCACUGAAAAAGGGAGUUCCCGCCAUAGCUCGGUGGGUAGCGAACCCAGCUAGUGUCCGUGAGGAGGCGGGUUGGAGCCCUGGCCUCGCCCAGUGGGUUAAGGAUCUGGCAUUGCUGUGAGCUGUGGUGUAGUCGCAGAGGCGGCCCGGAUCCCGUGUGCCUGUGGCUGUGGUGUCGGCUGGCAGCUGCAGCUCUGAUCCGACUCCAGGCCUGUGGGACCCUCUCAUGUGCCACAGGUGCGGCCCUGAAGUGAAAAAACCAAGUAGAAAAAAGCCCUUCUUCCAUUUCUGGCCCCUUCCCCCAGUCUCCGUGAGAAGCUGUGUCCCGCCCUGGGUGUGGCAAGGUGUGCACGUCUCCUCCCGCGUCUGCGCCCACGUCCCUGCUGUCCUGCUUGGGGACGGGCCCUGCGGGCUGCGGAGCAGUGCUGAGACGGGAGCUUGGCCCGAUCUCCAGUUCCAGUCGGUCGCAGAGUCGCUGCAGUGGUGGCAGAGCAGCCGCACGCAGAAGUUUUCAGGGGACUGAAGCUGUUCGAGGAAAGAGCACCCACCGUGUGGCGUCGGGGCCAGUGCUCACAGCCUGGAGUGGCCGCACCCACCUGCGUCCCCGUCCACCAUCCUCCCCGCCGACCUCAGGGCCCCUCCCGCAGCCAGCAGCUGUCCUGAGGACCGGCCAGUGGCCCGGGGCCCCCACGCCGCGGGCAGGGGCGGGUCUGGGUGACCUCACCCUGGGCCUUGGGGUCCUGCCCCUCCUUACCUGGUCUCUCCUGCCUUGAUAACGUGCAGGGGUUGGGCACCGACCUUAGGAGCGCGGAUGGGGUGCCGUUAGGAGGGCAGUGCACUUUCCCAGGAGCCAGGCUCAGUCCUGCCCCACUCUGCGUGGACCCAGGGCACUGUGGCGGGCUCUGGGGGGGCGUGAGGUCAGGGAUCCACCGACUUCACACAGACCAGGUGUAGCCGGGGAUGCCCAAAGUUGGGGCCCUGGGCAGGUGCAGGUGUGCCCGCUGGGGCACCUGCUCAGGCCAGGGGCUUAGGACCUCGCAGCUGGGGGGCGGGCGGGCCUCCUGAGCCAGGGCGGCAGCACCUGGUUUUACGGGGAUGCGUGUCACAUUCCCCUGCAGAGGUGGCUGUUCACAGCGGCCAUAUGUGCGGCUACUGCGGACAUGGUGGUCCCUGUUUUCUUCAUUUUGGUUACUUUUUGUCAACCUUGGUCUGAACACAUAAAAUGGAAUAUUCCAG